GUAUUGUGAUAGAUGAUGGUCCUGCAGAAGCUGCACCAGAGAAAUUUGUGGCAGCCAAGUAUUCAUCCGGGAAGGAUUAAAACAAGUGUCAUGUUUCUUUUGCCGUAUCUUUAAUAACACAAGAUGAAGCUAUUUUCAAAUUCUGUGAACACACAUCUAAAACUUGGAAGUCUAAAUGAAGGAGAAAGGAAUAAGAUUCAAUAGUGUUGCCUAUUUGAAUUGCAGAGAGAGCUGUCAGAGGCUAUGAAGCAGAAGAUUCGUGCAGAGUAUGAAGCGGUUGGUGGAAGCCCAGAUAAGCCUCUCCAGUCCAACUAUUUUCUAAAUAUCAUGAUUGUGAUUGCUGUUUUGGCAUUGUUGACAACUCUGUUUGGAAACUAGGUUUGCUGAGUUAUUUAAUGGAAAUUGACUUCGGCUUAUUAAUCAAGGCCUUUCCUAUGUAUAGUAAGUGGCACUGCAUCAAUACAUGAUAUACAUCAUUAUAUGGUAAAGAAACCCAUAUCAUCAGGGUUA